AAAUUGAAGAGUUUGAUCAUGGCUCAGAUUGAACGCUGGCGGCAGGCCUAACACAUGCAAGUCGAACGGUAACAGGAAGCAGCUUGCUGCUUUGCUGACGAGUGGCGGACGGGUGAGUAAUGUCUGGGAAACUGCCUGAUGGAGGGGGAUAACUACUGGAAACGGUGGCUAAUACCGCAUAACGUCGCAAGACCAAAGAGGGGGACCUUCGGGCCUCUUGCCAUCAGAUGUGCCCAGAUGGGAUUAGCUUGUUGGUGAGGUAACGGCUCACCAAGGCGACGAUCCCUAGCUGGUCUGAGAGGAUGACCAGCCACACUGGAACUGAGACACGGUCCAGACUCCUACGGGAGGCAGCAGUGGGGAAUAUUGCACAAUGGGCGCAAGCCUGAUGCAGCCAUGCCGCGUGUAUGAAGAAGGCCUUCGGGUUGUAAAGUACUUUCAGCGGGGAGGAAGGUGUUGUGGUUAAUAACCGCAGCAAUUGACGUUACCCGCAGAAGAAGCACCGGCUAACUCCGUGCCAGCAGCCGCGGUAAUACGGAGGGUGCAAGCGUUAAUCGGAAUUACUGGGCGUAAAGCGCACGCAGGCGGUCUGUCAAGUCGGAUGUGAAAUCCCCGGGCUCAACCUGGGAACUGCAUUCGAAACUGGCAGGCUUGAGUCUUGUAGAGGGGGGUAGAAUUCCAGGUGUAGCGGUGAAAUGCGUAGAGAUCUGGAGGAAUACCGGUGGCGAAGGCGGCCCCCUGGACAAAGACUGACGCUCAGGUGCGAAAGCGUGGGGAGCAAACAGGAUUAGAUACCCUGGUAGUCCACGCCGUAAACGAUGUCUACUUGGAGGUUGUGCCCUUGAGGCGUGGCUUCCGGAGCUAACGCGUUAAGUAGACCGCCUGGGGAGUACGGCCGCAAGGUUAAAACUCAAAUGAAUUGACGGGGGCCCGCACAAGCGGUGGAGCAUGUGGUUUAAUUCGAUGCAACGCGAAGAACCUUACCUGGUCUUGACAUCCACGGAAGUUUUCAGAGAUGAGAAUGUGCCUUCGGGAACCGUGAGACAGGUG
rnacentral:rRNA from 2 species